UGGCGAAUAUUGGACAAUGGGCGCAAGCCUGAUCCAGCCAUGUCGCGUGAGUGACGAAGGCCUUAGGGUUGUAAAGCUCUUUUGGCGGGGAAGAUAAUGACGGUACCCGCAGAAUAAGCUCCGGCUAACUUCGUGCCAGCAGCCGCGGUAAUACGAAGGGAGCUAGCGUUGUUCGGAAUCACUGGGCGUAAAGCGCACGUAGGUGGGCAGUUAAGUCAGGGGUGAAAGCCCGAGGCUCAACCUCGGAAUUGCCUCUGAUACUGGCUGUCUAGAGUUCGAGAGAGGUGAGUGGAAUUCCUAGUGUAGAGGUGAAAUUCGUAGAUAUUAGGAAGAACACCGGUGGCGAAGGCGGCUCACUGGCUCGAUACUGACACUGAGGUGCGAAAGCGUGGGGAGCAAACAGGAUUAGAUACCCCAGUAGUCCCUGAGCGGGCUGGCAAGGCGCAU
rnacentral:rRNA from 1 species